AUGCAUCUCUUCUGGUGGAUCACCCACAUCUUUCUAUCCCUCCCUUCUCUCCUCUCUUGUCCAAUCCUUCACGUGCGACAAUGAGACACAGUAUGCUUGGUAAGCCAAUGGUGCUGCAACAAAUGUCCACCAGGACCUCUGCCAUAAACAGAGUAAGUCAACCACCUAUCCAUCAGUUGCUGACUGCAGAGGCAAGACACUUCCAAACUCAUCUCUGUGUUUUUUCUGGCGUCCUGGAACGCACCCUGUCUGGUUGCCGGGCAAUG